rnacentral:tRNA from 1 species
GCGGCUAUAGCAUAGUGGUAAUGCUCCUGCCUUCCAAGCAGAUUAGCGGGGUUCGAUUCCCCGUAGCCGCU